AAAUUCUCUUGAGGAAUUGGUGAGACUAAACUCUCAGGAUAGAAAAACGCUUCGCAACAACGUCUAAUUUUCUUGCUUGGCUUAGAGAUCUCUUCCACCCAUGACUCCUUCACCCCAUACUCCUUCAUGAUCCAAACUCUGCGUUUCCCUUUACCAUAAUCAUCACACACCACACUAAGGCAUCCCUCUAUCACCCACAGCCACGGGCAAAUCCCG
rnacentral:lncRNA from 1 species